AUUGAACGCUGGCGGCAGGCCUAACACAUGCAAGUCGAGCGGACGAAGGGAGCUUGCUCCUGGAUGCAGCGGCGGACGGGCGAGUAAUUCCCAGGAAUCUGCCCGGCAGAGGGGGGUAAGGUCCGGAAACGGGAGCUAAGAUCGCAUACGUCCAGAGGGAGAACGUGGGGGAUCAACGGAGCUCACGCGACCAGAUGAGCCUAGGUGGGAUUAGCUAGUUGGUGGGGUAAAGGCCUACCAAGGCGACGAUCCGUAGCUGGUCUGAGAGGAUGAUCAGUCACACUGGAACUGAGACACGGUCCAGACUCCUACGGGAGGCAGCAGUAGGGAAUCUUGGACAAUGGGCGAAAGCCUGAUCCAGCCAUGCCGCGUGUGUGAAGAAGGUCUUCGGAUCGUAAAGCUCUGUUAGUUGGGAAGAACAUCUGUGUGAGAAUCCCUUGCUAUCUUGACGUUACCUACAGAGUAAGCCCCGGCUAACUUCGUG
rnacentral:rRNA from 1 species